rnacentral:tRNA from 5 species
GCCCAGGUGGUGAAAUUGGUAGACACGCUAGCUUCAGGUGCUAGUGAUCGCAAGGUCGUGGAGGUUCAAGUCCUCUCCUGGGCACCA